GCGGAUGGCUGGAUGGCCGCGUCCCCGAAAGGGGCCGAGGAAAGUCCGGACUCCACGGAGGAACGGCGCCGGGUAACGCCCGGCCGGCGAGAGCCGAGGGAAAGCGCCACAGAGAACAGACCGCCCCCGGCGAAAACCGGGGGUAAGGGUGAAACGGUGGGGUAAGAGCCCACCGCGCGACUGGCAACAGGAGCGGCACGGCAAGCCCCGCCGGGAGCAAGGCCAAAUAGGGACCGCGCGCGGGAAACCGCAGGGGCGCCUCUGCCCCGAGCAGGUCCGGGUUGGCUGCUUGAGCCAGGCAGCGAUGCCUGGCCCAGAGGAAUGGUCAUCGGGGCGCAAGCCCUACAGAAUCCGGCUUACAGGCCAUCCGCACAA
rnacentral:RNase_P_RNA from 1 species